AUGGCUGAGUGGAGAGGACAAAAAGUAGAGGCAGCUACUUCACACAGUUGUCCUGGGUCCCUCCAAGAAGUCUUCCUGUGGGGCUGGGGAUUUAGCCCAGUGGUUUUGCCACCUGCUGCGCAAGCAAGCGCAAGCGCAAGGACCCGAGUUCGAUCCCCUGUACCAAAAAAAAACAAAAACAAAGAAGUCUUCCUGUGUUGGUGCAAGAUGAGGUUCAGCUCCAGCAGGCUGAAGCUGAUGAAGGCCGAGCAGGAGUGGGGAGGACCCAGCCCCAGUCUGGACAGCCCAAGCCCCCUGGAGUCAUCGAGGAUCAAACCUUGUCUGACCCAUUGCUCCCGUGUCCACCAGCUGCGCACCCUCGACCUGUCAUCUCAGCUGGGACGCCCAUGUCCUCAGAGAGCAGAAUCUGGUCUCGUGUUCUAAUAAAAUCUCUUGACUAUCGAGUGACAGCAGUGGUGGUGUGGAUGUGCCUGGGUGGGUGGCAGGAGGGCUCCCUGGAACGGGUCAGUACUAAUGAAGCCACAGUGUCACCCAGGCCAAGCCUCCGGGAAGCCAGGACCCAGAAGGAGGCUCCUCCCACCCACCGGGCCACCUCCUUGCUAUCGAAAACCCCGCCCAUGACCUGUUUUAUUUAGGGGCUGGGGAUUUAGCUCAGUGGUUCCUGACACCUGCCUCACAAGCGCAAGGACCGGAGUUCAAUCCCCAGCACCAAAAAAUAAAAAUUUUUCUUAAAAGUUUUAUCUAUUUUUAUUCAUUUAUUUUGUUUUUUUGAGGCAGGGUCUCUAUGUAGUUCAGGUUAGCCUUGAACUCACUUUGUAGCUCAGGCUGGCCUCAAACUUGUUGACAAUCCUGCCUCAGGUCUCCCAAGCACUUAGAUGAUAGGAAUGAGCCAUGAUGAGUUUCAAAAUAAAAUUUUCUUUUGGUACUGAGAAUUGAACUCAGGCCCUUGUGCUUUCGAGGCAGGUGCAGCGCUGCU
rnacentral:lncRNA from 1 species